AUUGAACGCUGGCGGCAGGCCUAACACAUGCAAGUCGAACGAGUGGCGGACGGGUGAGUAAUGUAUGGGGAACUGCCCGAUAGAGGGGGAUAACUACUGGAAACGGUGGCUAAUACCGCAUACCAUCGGAUGUGCCCAGAUGGGAUUAGCUAGUAGGUGGGGUAACGGCUCACCUAGGCGACGAUCCCUAGCUGGUCUGAGAGGAUGACCAGCCACACGGGAACUGAGACACGGUCAAGACGCCUACGGGAGGCAGCAGUGGGGAAUAUUGAACAAUGGGCGCAAGCCUGAGGCAGCCAUGCCGCGUGUAUGAAGAAGGCCUUCGGGUUGUAAAGUACUUUCAGCGAGGAGGCGUUACUCGCAGAAGAAGCACCGGCUAACUCCGUGCCAGCAGCCGCGGUAAUUC
rnacentral:rRNA from 1 species